GACGAACGCUGGCGGCGUGCUUAGCACAUGCAAGUCGAACGCUGAAGCUCAGCUUUUGUUGGGUGGAUGAGUGGCGAACGGGUGAGUAACACGUGAGUAACCUGCCUCCUUCUUUGGGAUAACGCCCGGAAACGGGUGCUAAUACUGGAUAUUCACUGGUCUUCGCAUGGGGGUUGGUGGAAAGGGUUUUUCUGGUGGGGGAUGGGCUCGCGGCCUAUCAGCUUGUUGGUGGGGUGAUGGCCUACCAAGGCUUUGACGGGUAGCCGGCCUGAGAGGGUGACCGGUCACAUUGGGACUGAGAUACGGCCCAGACUCCUACGGGAGGCAGCAGUGGGGAAUAUUGCACAAUGGGCGCAAGCCUGAUGCAGCGACGCCGCGUGAGGGAUGGAGGCCUUCGGGUUGUGAACCUCUUUCGCUCAUGGUCAAGCCGCAACAAUGGUUGUGGUGAGGGUAGUGGGUAAAGAAGCGCCGGCUAACUACGUG
rnacentral:rRNA from 1 species